rnacentral:rRNA from 1 species
UACAGAGGUCUCAAGCGUUGUUCGGAAUUAUUGGGCGUAAAGGGCGCGUAGGCGGCCUGGCAAGUGACGGGUGAAAGCCCUCGGCUCAACCGAGGAACUGCCUGUCAUACUGCCGGGCUUGAGUCCGGGAGAGGUGAGUGGAAUUCCCAGUGUAGCGGUGAAAUGCGUAGAUAUUGGGAGGAACACCAGUGGCGAAGGCGGCUCACUGGACCGGAACUGACGCUGAGGCGCGAAAGCGUGGGGAGCAACAGG